rnacentral:rRNA from 1 species
GAUGAACGCUGGCGGCGUGCUUAACACAUGCAAGUCGAACGAUGAAGCUUCCAGCUUGCUGGGGGUGGAUUAGUGGCGAACGGGUGAGUAUCACGUGAGUAACCUGCCCUUGACUUCAGGAUAAGCCCGGGAAACUGGGUCUAAUACUGGAUAUGCCCAAUCCCUGCAUGGGGUGUUGGGGGAAAGAUUGUAUCGGUUGUGGAUGGACUCGCGGCCUAUCAGCUUGACGGUGAGGUAGUGGCUCACCGUGGCGAUGACGGGUAGCCGGCCUGAGAGGGUGACCGGCCACACUGGGACUGAGACACGGCCCAGACUCCUACGGGAGGCAGCAGUGGGGAAUAUUGCACAAUGGGCGCAAGCCUGAUUCAGCGACGCCGCGUGCGGGAUGACGGCCUUCGGGUUGUAAACCGCUUUCAGCAUAGAAGAAGCCCUUCGGGGUGACGGUAUAUGCAGAAGAAGCGCCGGCUAACUACGUGCCAGCCGCCGCCGUAA